rnacentral:rRNA from 1 species
CUUUUAGAGGGAGUGGCGCACGGGUGCGUAACGCGUGGGAACCUGCCCUUAGGUUCGGAAUAACUCAGAGAAAUUUGAGCUAAUACCGGAUAAUGUCUUCGGACCAAAGAUUUAUCGCCUUUGGAUGGGCCCGCGUAGGAUUAGAUAGUUGGUGGGGUAAUGGCCUACCAAGUCGACGAUCCUUAGCUGGUCUGAGAGGAUGAUCAGCCACACUGGGACUGAGACACGGCCCAGACUCCUACGGGAGGCAGCAGUGGGGAAUAUUGGACAAUGGGCGAAAGCCUGAUCCAGCAAUGCCGCGUGAGUGAUGAAGGCCUUAGGGUUGUAAAGCUCUUUUACCAGGGAUGAUAAUGACAGUACCUGGAGAAUAAGCUCCGGCUAACUCCGUGCCAGCAGCCGCGGUAAUACGGAGGGAGCUAGCGUUGUUCGGAAUUACUGGGCGUAAAGCGCACGUAGGCGGCUUUUCAAGUCAGGGGUGAAAUCCCGGGGCUCAACCCCGGAACUGCCCUUGAAACUGGAUGGCUAGAAUACUGGAGAGGUGAGUGGAAUUCCGAGUGUAGAGGUGAAAUUCGUAGAUAUUCGGAAGAACACCAGUGGCGAAGGCGACUCACUGGACAGUUAUUGACGC